AUCCAAGUCCAAUUAAUAGUCCAUCAGCAGUCAAAACGCCACUUAAUAUGAAUAGACAUAAUGCAAGCCCAAUCGCCAGAAACGAUCAUGGUCCUACGAUAAAUACUGCCAACACAGACAAAACGAAGAAAGCUCUAGUGGCAUGCCCGUUUCUGAAAAGGCGGGGAUAUUGUUUAAAGGGACACAGAUGUGACUUCUUGCAUGACAAUGUCCUAGUGGAACACGCGGAAAGACAUCUCCACUGAAGCGUGGUGAAAGAUCUCCCCUCCUAACAUGCCACAAUGCAGUAAUAACCAAUUUCCCUUUCCUUUUCCGUACGACCCAAAUUAUUUCCCCCCGAUUCGUUUCCCAUGGUUUUUCCCCCUGUCUCAGCCGUUUCCGUGCCCUUAUGUACCUCCACAUAUGCCCCCA